UACGGGGGGUGCAAGCGUUGUCCGGAAUCAUUGGGCGUAAAGCGUUCGUAGGCGGCAAGGUAAGUCUGAUGUUAAAGCCCGGGGCUCAACUCCGGUUCGGCAUUGGAUACUAUCUAGCUAGAAUGUGGUAGAGGUAAAGGGAAUUCCUGGUGUAGCGGUGAAAUGCGUAGAGAUAUGGAGGAACACCAGUGGCGAAGGCGGCUUCCUGGUCUGCAACUGACACUGAGGCGCGAAAGCGUGGGGAGCAAACAGG
rnacentral:rRNA from 1 species